rnacentral:tRNA from 1 species
AGAUAAUGAACUUGAAUAAGUAUAUGUUUUGAAAACAUAAUAUAAAAUUAAAAAUUUUAUUAUCUU